UACGGAGGGUGCGAGCGUUGUCCGGAAUCACUGGGCGUAAAGGGCGCGUAGGCGGCUCGUGAAGUCAGUGGUGAAAGCCCAGGGCUCAACUCUGGGUCGGCCACUGAUACUCACGAGCUCGAGUUUGGUAGAGGCAGAUGGAAUUCCGGGUGUAGCGGUGGAAUGCGUAGAGAUCCGGAAGAACACCGGUGGCGAAGGCGGUCUGCUGGGCCAAGACUGACGCUGAGGCGCGACAGCGUGGGGAGCAAACAGG
rnacentral:rRNA from 1 species